AUGUACCACUCGUACACUCCGGUUCUGAGCGCGCCGUCCGCGCCCGCCUGACAGCUGCUCGCUACGUUUGUGAGCC
rnacentral:sRNA from 1 species